rnacentral:rRNA from 1 species
UACAGAGGGGGCAAGCGUUGUUCGGAAUUACUGGGCGUAAAGGGCGCGUAGGCGGCCUGCUAAGUCGAACGUGAAAUCCCUGGGCUCAACCCAGGAACUGCGUCCGAUACUGGUUGGCUUGAAUUCGGGAGAGGGAUGUGGAAUUCCAGGUGUAGCGGUGAAAUGCGUAGAUAUCUGGAGGAACACCGGUGGCGAAGGCGACAUCCUGGACCGAUAUUGACGCUGAGGCGCGAAAGCCAGGGGAGCAAACGGG